rnacentral:rRNA from 1 species
CCGGAAAAAGAAGAGUGGCGAACGGGUGAGUAACACGUGGGUAACCUGCCCAUCAGAAGGGGAUAACACUUGGAAACAGGUGCUAAUACCGUAUAACAAUCGAAACCGCAUGGUUUUGAUUUGAAAGGCGCUUUCGGGUGUCGCUGAUGGAUGGACCCGCGGUGCAUUAGCUAGUUGGUGAGGUAACGGCUCACCAAGGCCACGAUGCAUAGCCGACCUGAGAGGGUGAUCGGCCACAUUGGGACUGAGACACGGCCCAAACUCCUACGGGAGGCAGCAGUAGGGAAUCUUCGGCAAUGGACGAAAGUCUGACCGAGCAACGCCGCGUGAGUGAAGAAGGUUUUCGGAUCGUAAAACUCUGUUGUUAGAGAAGAACAAGGAUGAGAGUAACUGUUCAUCCCUUGACGGUAUCUAACCAGAAAGCCACGGCUAACUACGUGCCAGCAGCCGCGGUAAUACGUAGGUGGCAAGCGUUGUCCGGAUUUAUUGGGCGUAAAGCGAGCGCAGGCGGUUUCUUAAGUCUGAUGUGAAAGCCCCCGGCUCAACCGGGGAGGGUCAUUGGAAACUGGGAGACUUGAGUGCAGAAGAGGAGAGUGGAAUUCCAUGUGUAGCGGUGAAAUGCGUAGAUAUAUGGAGGAACACCAGUGGCGAAGGCGGCUCUCUGGUCUGUAACUGACGCUGAGGCUCGAAAGCGUGGGGAGCAAACAGGAUUAGAUACCCUGGUAGUCCACGCCGUAAACGAUGAGUGCUAAGUGUUGGAGGGUUUCCGCCCUUCAGUGCUGCAGCUAACGCAUUAAGCACUCCGCCUGGGGAGUACGACCCGCAAGGUUGAAACUCAAAAGGAAUUUGACGGGGGGCCCGCACAAGCGG